GGAGUUGCAUUGGAAUAUGCUUUUUACAUCGAUGUCCACCAUAUCUUCUCUUAUUUUCUUGUUUUAUCCCUGAAAACACAGACAUACCAAAACUCGUGGAACUCUGUUAGUUUAACCCCUACCCUAUGCAUAUAUUUCAUUAUGAGCAUAUAUUCAUGUUUAGUUGAUAGUUAAAGUGAUACUUAACAACUGUCAACAAGCUCUCCAAGCUUAACCUUAGCUAGUCCCUUAGCAAAGCUAAACUUAGCAAUGGGUUACGAGUUGCUACAAUGCUUUCAUGCCUCAAAGUACACAUGCAUUCAAAUAAAAAUUCUCCUUCGGAUUAGAAUAGACUAUUCUGACUUUCAAACUUAAACAUAUUACCUUCAACCAUGGGGCUUGUAGCCGUCACUUGGGUCUUGAGCAAUUGAAAGACAAAACAAUCAAGUCAAGUACUAUGCUUCAAGCUCUUAGCUCAACCAUUAUUCUAGAUUUUUUGUAAGUUUUCUAAAAAAACUUAGAGGACUCUCUUAAGUCUCUCAAUAUGUGGUAUUUAUGGAUCCUUACCAAGACAAUAAUGAUGUUAUGCCUUCACUCUUGCUCAUCCCACAACUAAUAAAGCUUAUAUGGAGUUCUUAGGAGGGGAGACAACACAUACAUACUUGCAAAAAAUAUUUUUGUAAAGUCAAACAAUAGAUCUAGAGAAACAAGUCAUACAACUAAAUCAAGAUGUGCAUGUGUGUGGAAUAUAUGUGGAGUGGUGUAUGUGGUGGAUAUGGCUAUGAAUGGUGUAAAUGGUGGCAAGGGUGAAAUCAUGGUGGGAACCUAAUUCUACUUUGCUCCUUGAAAACAUAUCUCUCUUUUUUGGAAUUUGAAAACCCUUGCCAGAGAACAUGGCUAUCUUAUUUAUUUUUCUCUCUCUUGGACAUUUGUCCAUUUUUUCUAAUACUAUUUUUUCUCUUUUUUUCUUCCUCUUCUUUUUUUCAAAUAAUUUUUGCAUAAUCUAUGCCUCUUUUGCAACAAAUCUUUGAGAGAUAACAACAAGAACUUGGAGCAUUUAUUUGGUGGAUUUGGGGUGAUUGGGUGGAUGGAAAUCUAUCAAGCAUGUAUUCGGUGUUCACUCCUAGUGUAGGAGUAGAACAUGUUUGGGUAGAUCUAAAUGGAAGGCAUGUUGUUACAUACUUCCAGUGUACAAGCAACAUAUUUGGAUGGAGUGUAGGUGAUCUUGAUUUUCAAAGCAUGACAAGUCUCUAAGGAUCAAUAAAGCUUGACAAAACUCAAUGCAAAGCAAGCAGUAAAAUACGUAAGUGGUUGUUGGGUAUUUUAAACGCAAACAGAAAAAUCCGCAAGCGCACGGAUACUGAUGUAGCCUUCACCCAGGAGUAUUCCAGAGUAUUGAUUUUCCACAGGGAACGUGAGUGUACUAAUUAAGAAUCAAGAUCGCCUAAGGAUAACUAUAUAAUUAUUUUUGGUGGGAAGAGAGGAAGUUUCCUGAGAGUUCUCUAGUUGAUCUAAGAAUCAAGAAUUACUUCAAAGAUUAUCUAUUUCGGGACAUCAGAGCACUAACCACAAAAAGAGAUGAGAAGGGGGCUAGGAAGGUCUGACUACGGUCCUACAAACACCGAUCCGAACGUGGUGGAAUACGUCGACCGUUAGGGCUGUCACUACCCUAAGGCUACCACAACAAUCCGCAGGAUUGGGUACAAUUCUAGGUAAUUGCAAGACUAAACACCACGUCUAAUCUAUUAAUUACUACUCUAAUGUUUCAAAGAUUAGAGCACUUGUUGCAAGCGGGAAUCCAAUAAAUAACCUGAAUGUAAAUAAAAGUAAUUAAAGAACUCAGGAAUUAUGAAUUGAAGAACCUGGAGAACGAUGAAGAACGAACCAGUUGCUGUAAAAGUACAAUGUUGAGGAAGAUCCGACAGAUCCGGCUCCUCCUCCUCCGCUCUCCUCUUCUCUCUCCCUAUUUUCUAGAUUACAACUAGAACUAACUAGAACUAGAACUAGAGGAACUAGAACUGGAACUAGAUGAACUAGAACUAGAUCUAGAUGAACUAGAGGUAGAACUAGAAGAACUAGAGGGAUCCUCUCUACUU
rnacentral:lncRNA from 1 species